CUGAAAUCUCACAGCAGGGGUGAAACAAUGUGGGUCUGAGGCUCUAAGAGGCAGAAUACAGACUUCUCAGAUGGAAAAGUUAUUCUUAGAAGCACUCAGAUGGAUCAAAUAGGGUGUGGCCCCAUGCUCAGGACCCUGAGACACCACUGGUGAACUUUUUUUGGCAGAUAAGCCUGGAUUCCAGCAAAGAUUGCACUGAUGUCAUCCAAGAUUAAAACUUUCUGACAGAAAUGAAGUAGUCUCCCAAGGCAAUGAGAAUAUAUUCCUUUACCUCUGAAUUCCACCCACUUUCCAAUUAUUGAAAUAGACCUUCAGCAUUUCC